rnacentral:rRNA from 1 species
UACGGAGGAUGCGAGCGUUAUCCGGAUUUAUUGGGUUUAAAGGGUGCGUAGGCGGGCUUUUAAGUCAGCGGUAAAAAUUCGGGGCUCAACCCCGUCCGGCCGUUGAAACUGGGGGCCUUGAGUGGGCGAGAAGAAGGCGGAAUGCGUGGUGUAGCGGUAAAAUGCAUAGAUAUCACGCAGAACCCCGAUUGCGAAGGCAGCCUUCCGGCGCCCUACUGACGCUGAGGCACGAAAGUGCGGGGAUCGAACAGG